ACGAUUUAUGUUCGUAGUGAUUUAUUGUGCUUUGUCAGUACUUUGAAGGUUAUUUAAGCAAUUUCAGUUAACUUAUUUACGUAUUCUGUUAUCCUUUUCCAAGUUCACAAAAAUUUCGAGGAAUCGCUUUUGUUAUUGUAAUAUUUUGGAAAUUUUAGAACAUUCGCUUCUCAUGUAUUGUAAAGGAUCUUUACCCCGGAACACCCGAUUUUUCUUUAGUAGCGCAAAUGCGCAUGCUCUAUCAAGCCGUAGAUCACGAUGGCGUGACGAUAUGCUAGGA